rnacentral:rRNA from 1 species
GACGAACGCUGGCGGCGUGCUUAACACAUGCAAGUCGAGCGGAGCGGCGAACGGGUGAGUAACGCGUGAGUAACUGCCCCCCUCCCUGGGGUAACAGUUGGAAACGGCCGCCAAUCCAGGAUAGUGGGGGAUGAUUCGCGUCCUAUCAGCGGGUUGGGGGGGUAGUGGCCUACAACGGCGACGACGGGUAGCCGGCCUGAGAGGGCGACCGGCCACAUUGGGCGGAGAUACGGCCCAAACUCAUACGGGAGGCAGCGGUGGGGAAUAUUGCACAAUGGGGGAAAGCCUGCUGCAGCAACGCCGCGUGCGGGAUGACGGCCUUCGGGUUGUAAACCGCUUUCAGCCAUGACGCGGUAGUGGCAGAAGAAGCACCGGCUAACUACGUGCCAGCAGCCGCGGUAAUUC